GUCGCCAUAUGAAAUCCGUUCAUCCCACAAUAAAUUAUAUUAAGUAAAAAAUAAAAUUAUUAUAUUAUUAAGUAAGUCAAUCUGUCAAGUAAUAUAACAGUGUAUUACAAUACAAAGUUCAUACUUUGUAUUGUAAUACACUACUGUAAUGACACACCCGAAUCAUUACCUAAGUGAUGUGUUUAUACACAUCACUUAGGUAAUGAUUGAUGAAAACAUUACACAUCACUCUUAACAUUACUCGGUGCGUUCAAUAGAUACUGUGACGACGAAUACAUUGUAUCUAUACACCCGAAUCAUUACCUAAGUGAUGUGUUUAUACACAUCACUUUGAACGCACCGAGUAAUGUUAAGAGUGAUGUGUAAUGUUUUCGAGUAAUAUCACCUAUCUGUAAAAGUGAUGUCAUAUCACAUUACAUUGGGAAGUGAUGUUUUGCGCAAGUCUAGUCUUCUUUAGUAUUUAUGUUCUUUAAUCAGAAAGAUACUUAUUAUUAUUUAUUAACAUCAUAGAUAUGGGGUGAAUGAAGUUAGCCCCUCAAAAAAAAUUUUUUUUCCUAUUUUCUACUUAUUUUCUAUUAAUUCGUUUGUUCAUCAUUUGUUCUUGAUUGUUCAUUGUUAAUAAUUGUUUGUUCCCCAUUUAUUUAUUUUAAAAAAAAUAUUAAAAAUAUAUCUAAAAGUUAGCCCCUCGAUUGUAAUUUUUAAUAUUUUUUCGUCCUUAAUUACUCGUAAAUAUUCAUUUUCGAUUGUUCUUAUAUAAAAUACGUUUGUUCUCUUUCGAAAUUACUCAUUUUUUGUUUAAUUAAUUGUAUUAGUUGAAUAAAUGUAUACAAAAUAUGUGUACUGCGCAUGCCAUAAGUGUAUAAUCUAUGGCGCAUGCGUCAACUAUAAUGCCUAAACUUUCUACGCGGUUUUAAUAGUGAAAAAAAAACAAUUAUAAAUCCUGAAGGAUCAAUUAAUUGGUAUACAGUUUAAUUAAAAAAUAAAUAAAUAAAAUAAUGUGCAUUCGCGUAAAGUUAGCCCAAAUACAUUUUUUCCAUCCUCCUAUAUACCUAUCGCUAUGAAGGUAUAAAAAAGAUAGGUUAAGAGUUCACAUAGGUAAUAUAAACAAAUAAGUAAAUAUGUUCAUUAUUUAUCUUUCAAGAGAUAAUGUAGGUAUACAUUAUAAUAACAUUUUGACACAGUCGAAAUUAUAUUCCUAACAUUAGUAAAAUAACAUUUUAAUAUUUUUUUUAUAGGUUAUGUAUUGAAAUUGUUGGAAAAUUAUUUCAUGUUUUAGCUGGAAAACUACAUGGAGAAUUAUAUGCAAUACAAGAUAAUGAGCUCCAUUAAAUGAAUUCGAAUGAAACCAAACUGUUUACCAUCCAAAUUCGAUUGUCGGGCAGAUAGAAAACGAAAAUUCACUCAUAGUGAACCUCGGCCUGCAUUUGUGAAACGGCAAAGACUCACUAUUAUCAAGGAAAUUGAAGAGACGACUAAAAAUGAGAUGUGUCGUAUUAUUAUACCUUUGCCAUCUUGUAGUCAAGAUGUCCAGCCACUUGAAAAUAGGUGUAGUAAUGACAAAGCUAUCCAAGUAGCUCCAGCACAGGAACACAAAGGCAAGGCAAGUGUGUAUUGCCACAUCACCCCUUAAUAUAUCUGAAGCAAGUAUAAGUAAACAAUCAGAACCAGCAAAAAAAAAAACUGUUGUUCCUGAGGACAAAUUUUACAGUGAUGAGUCAAAUGCACCAGCAACAGAAGGAUCAACUGUUGACUAUGGGUUAUAGAAGAAGAAGAUUAAUUCAUAUUUAUUUAAAUUAAUAUUAAUGAAUAUUAAUUUAAAUUAUCGUGCAAAAUUCGUGGUCAAAACAUAUGUGUAUUUCAUAAAUAAAUAUUCAUUCUCAGUA